UACGUAGGGUGCGAGCGUUGUCCGGAAUUAUUGGGCGUAAAGAGCUUGUAGGCGGUUUGUCGCGUCUGCCGUGAAAUUUCGAGGCUCAACCUCGAACUUGCGGUGGGUACGGGCAGACUAGAGUGUGGUAGGGGAGACUGGAAUUCCUGGUGUAGCGGUGAAAUGCGCAGAUAUCAGGAGGAACACCGAUGGCGAAAGCACUCUGCUGGGCCGACACUGACACUGAGAGACGAAAGCUAGGGGAGCGAAUGGG
rnacentral:rRNA from 1 species